ensembl:lncRNA
AAGGGAUGAGAGUUUAAAAGACAAACAUACAGCCCUACUAUUUAAGGCACCCCCAAAAUGUGUCAUUUGAAUACUGGCUGUGUAAAAGCACUGUCAAAUUUGAAGCAGGCUGGUAUUUAGCAAAUCGCUAAAGGUCAAAGCUUAGCAGAGGGUACAAGAGCUAAGUACUGUAGGCACCUGAGAGGAUAAAGUCUAAAGAGGAUCCUUGGGACGUCCCAAUUCUGACGUCACCCUGUUGAAGUUGAACAUUUAAAUGAUUAAGACUAAGGUUAGAGUUAGGUAGGGCGUAUGGUGAAGGUUUAAGGUAAGGACAUCCCAAGGAUCCCUGAUUGCAUUAACCCACAUGAGAGGGGUGGUGGUGCCCCUGUCCUGUUCUCACCUGACUGUUGAUGGAGUCUCCAGGGGUACUGGGCCAACCCCUUGGCUGCCAUGUACAGGGGCAGGAAGGAGGGAUGGUGGAGGGUCCGGUUGGAGAAUGGAAGAAGGACCACCUGCCUUGGGCUCUGUUGUUGGAGGAAAGACAACACAUAUAUUGAAUUGCAAUCAGUAUUCCAAGAUCUGCAGCUUCAGGAAAAAUGUCAGCUGGAUUUCACAGGUAAGCUCCAUUUUUAAAUGUACUGUUUUAUAAAAUAUUAUUAACUUCUAUAAUUGAGCUUCAAUGUGUUCUGUUAAUUGGUUACCAGUUGCUUCAGUCUCACCCCUCUAGUUUCCUUACUAGAUGCAGUGUUUGUGGGUGUACAUGAUGCUGUGCCUCCAAGGGGUAAGAAUUUGUAACUAACUUUAUUAGUAUACACUUCAGGCCAAUGGUAACCUAAUGUCUUUAAGCUUGACUGUUGGGAUUGAUACCUUGUGGCGUCUGACCUAUUGGGCUUUACUGGUAUUGAAACUAAGUCUUAUUGCUAAGGCAGGUCAGAGUGAAACUAUCUGAGGAACUCUUUGACAAACACUACAGGGAAGAUUUCCUACGGGUCUUCCUACACUGACAUCUAACCCUUUUUAUUAACAUGGUUUUGUUUCAAGACAUUGGAAGUGUAAGCCUUUGAAAAUCAGACUUGACCAUAUGCAUUGGACCAUAACAUGCGCAAUGAGUUUGCGGUCAGUCUCUAAUAUGAACACUUAUGGACAAUGGCUGCGUAGAAACCAGAUUCACCCUUCACAGGUCCAUGGCCACGCCCCGUGUCUGUGCCAACAACUCUUCACCAUUAACCUUAAGGAGCUUCAGUAACCAUUCAGAAAUGUCUCCUUUGCCUGACAACUGAUCCUCCUGGUGCCUUGAGCAGUAGCACGUUGGGAUUUUAGGUUGUCAAAGAGUAAAGAGUUCUCCACUUUAACCAGCAUGCAUUAUCCUGCAUCAACACUGGACUGUAAAGGACCCUACAUUUUAAUUAUAUUGUAGAUGUAUACAGCCUACUAUGUAACAGUUACCCUGCAAUAUGUCAACAAGUAUCUUGUCCCUGUGUCAUGAAAGUCAGAUCUGCCUCCUUGUAAUGGUUGCUACGUAACUGUCAUCCUCCUCCUACCAUACGUGUGUAUGGUGGGAGGAGGAUGACAGUCCUGGAGAAUCAAGUGUUUGUGUACCUGGGGAACUUCCCCCUAUGAUGACCUGAUGGCUGUGAAGCUCAAGGAACACUACUCCAUACCAGAGGCUAUUCAAAUUGUCUACCCCCUCCCUUCACUAGGGUUUUCCAUGCCAACGGAACUGAUGUGGCUGUCAUCCAGGUUCCAUUCGAAGACCCCAUUGUUCCAAGAACUCUCCGGAAUUCGACCCAGCGACCUUUCAAUUACUGGCUCAAUGCUCUAACUGCUAGGCUACCUUACGCCACUACUGCCUGGUCAUGGCUCGGUUCAAUGACAUUUCCUUCAAAAGGCACCUGCACAGAGGGCAUCAGCUUUCAGCGGGGCAUCCAACCGUUCAACUACAUGUGGGAGGUUGGUGUCGGACCUGACCUGGCUAUGCAUCCUAGGUACAUUAUGCUCUAUGAAAACCAGUGACCAUGGACGUUUCUCUCCACCACCAGAUACAUCUGAGAGGUCAGCCAAGACGCUGGAAGUUCAGCAUGCCUCUACCAAACGCUGCCUCGUCACAACUACUGAGCUGAUCUGCGAGACUAGGUAGGGUCACUACAUAUUGGUGUCGGUCGUGUUUCAGGUCCUCUUCAUUGCAGUUGCGCUGAGCAUCUGACUUCUCCACGCAUUGCAAUCUGAUUUAUUGGCUGAUAUUGCAUCUGGUAUGUCACUUCUCUCCAGUGUCUUCCACAGAAGGGGUGAAGACUGACAACAAACUUGACUCUGGCCAUCAUUGGUGCAGAACCUCCCUCCUGGACUCCACCUGCAGGCCCCAAGAGACUGUUGACACCCACCAGGGUUCUAACUUUGGACUCUACACCUGUAAAUCAAAGUCAUGGCAGGGUUCAAAGUAUCUAGGCUAGUAGUGGCUUUGUCCCAUAGUAUCUUUAGAUUAAAUUGAUUGGCAAUCCUUUCAGAUGGACUACCAGUGGUGAAUGGGAUCGUGUUCUACAAGCAAUAUUCACCCGAAGACAGGCUUGUCAUCAGACAUCUUAUAGGAUCUUUGAGGGAGACUCAGUCACACACUCGCUGACCAGGUUCCAAUAAACUGAGUCUUCAGUAAACAGCUGGGUUCCAAAUGACCUGAUGGAAUUACCUUUUUCUUCAGUUUAGCUUUGCCAGAGGCUAGACUCCCAUUGUGAUUCCUCGGACUCUGACGAUGACAGAGACUACAAAGUAUCCUGUUACAACAAUCUACUAAAUGAAUUUGGGUCCCCUGGCCACACCCAGCAAUUUAAACUAGCAUUGAAUCAAUACUUUCAUGUUAUUACUCUAUUUAAAAUGAAUAAAUUGUUGGCUCUUGUAGACUUCCUCCAGUAUCUUUGUUUUUAAGCUUGAUAUAUUGCUCUUAACUGCAGACUUCAAGGAGGGUGUCUGAUGGACUUAGUGAUGUGCAAAUUCCAUGUUUUGUGCAGCUGUAUAAAGAUAACAGUGGGACUGCCUGUGUAAACGCAGCCAAUUAUUUUUCCAGUAGUUGAUUGUCUCCAAUAGGGUAAAAGAUAAUGACUGCCUGUGUAAAUGCAGCCUUUGCUCAGGGGUAUACAACUCAUACCCUACAAGGUCCAGCGCCUGCUGGUUUUGCUCUGCUAAUGACCUUGUGUUCCAGGUCUAAAAUCGGUCCCAAAAAUUCCAGUCCUGAAUUUGCAUCCAGGAAUGUGUUUACUUGUGGUGAGCCCUUUUCUCUAGGCUUAAAAUUAGCUGUUAAAUGGGGCAGAGAUUACAUGACUGCUACUUGGACACUUCAAAUAGUGUUACCCAACAUUAUAGCAAAACCCUUAGCAUGCUCAUUGUGACAUAAAAAUAACCUGUCAUUCUUCUUUAGCA